rnacentral:lncRNA from 1 species
ACGAAAAUACCCUCAUAUUCAGGGAUAAUUUUGUUAAAACAAAAUGGGCCUUGUCUUGUUGUCUAUCUUUUUCUUUCCUGUUAAUGGUGAUAAUGUUAAAAACCCUUUCUCUGUUGUUCCUCCUCUUGGCAAUCUUCUUCUUUCUUGGUGGGUAUGUUCUUCUCUCUUAUAUUUCAUUUUAUUUAUACAUUUUAGUAACACUUUGUUUCUAUUUUAUAUGUGUAAUGGAAAUUUUUUUUAAGGGUUUUGUUUAGUCUGUAAGGCAUGUAUCAUACUAUCAUCAUGUAUGUAUGGCUUCUUCUGAUCAUUUAGGUAUGAUUAUGAUUAUGAGUUUGGAUGUACCAGUACAUAGAAGAUGAUUAGAAUAUACAGGCAUAGUGGUUAGUCACUAAGAUAAAUUGAUAGCAAAUCUUAUGUAUUUCAAUUCAGUCAGACAAAUCAAUCAGAUAUGUCGAAAUUAGUUCCCACGUAGGACUAAACCUAAAUGAAUCAUUAAACGGAAAUUAAAUACACUAAUCGAUUUGGAAAUUAAACGGAAAUCAUUAGACAUUUUUUGUGCUUCAAGUUAAAAUCCCAAGUGCUUACAGGGUCAUAGGCUCAUAGCAGAGCAAGUCAGUGAUUGGGAGUUAUUAUAUGUUCAAGGAUAGAGAUGGGAAUACAGUAGUAUCUAUCUUGGGGAUUGUAGGUUCUUAAAUUACAACUUCGUUACUACCUUUUGCGGUAAGCCAUUGUCAAAUUAAACCAGAAAACUGAACAUCUGCUUUGCUACCCACCACUCCGGUGUAUAGGACCUCAUCUCUUUUUCCAUCCUCUCAUUGAAUUAUAUGAUUUCAACCCAGACAGAAUGCCUAAGAGAUGAAAAUUGCCAAAUGAUUUUGUUUUUUAUGGGACAAGAGGAGUGGCGGUAGUAUCUUCUCCUAUAGUGUACAAUUUCUGUUAAAUUUCGAUUAUAACAUUUCUGUGAGUUUGUCAAAGAAGAAAUAUAGAUAGGUUCGGGUGAGAAAAGGAAAGUGUAUAUAACAUAAUCUGUCAAAGUAACCUUCUUAUUUUAAAUCACAGGUUUAGGUUAACAACAAAUCUUAAUAUGAAUUUGAUACUUGAACUCCCAAGCUUAUGCAAUACACAUCCUUCAAUUUUGAUCAUGGAUAUUUGAUACAGGUUUCACAGGUGACAUUGAACCCUUAUAACACCUAUUCCUUGAAGAUCCACUCGUCCAUUGAAAAGUUUCCUGCGCCUCAUCUUCAGAUACACCCUUACACAUAGUUGCCUUAACAUAACAAACAAACAUUAAGGGAAUUAUAUAAAAAGGCCUGAAAUUGUCACAAAUGGAUUUAAUGAAGACGCUUUUACUUCAAUUCACAUGGCUUCUGCAAAUGGGUAUAUUGAUCUAGUAAGAGAAUUUUUGUAAGUUGAUUGUAGUUCUAUCAUCGUUUUUGGAUAAAUUAGAGUUGUAUUAAUAUCGCAAAAAGGUUUUUACCAUCCUGACAGUUUAGCGUCAGGUGAUCUCAAAGGGUGAAAGGGAUAUCAUCCUUAAGCUAACAACAAACAUUAUUACAAAGAAAAGACCACGACUCCCUGUUCUCCAGCACUUCUGUCUUCAGACACCCAGUUGCACCUCAUCGAUCAUCAACUAUUCAGUGUGUUGCUCCAGUCUGUGAUUAAAUCCACGAAAUGAUGUUCGUCAUUCCCCAAUUUAACCACACCACCCACCCACCCACACAUCCGAUACCAAACAGUACCUUUAGCUUGGUUGCAGACCUUAGCGAGGUUGAUCUGUUUGCCUUUAACAAGAUGCUGGCUUCUGGUUACCCACUGUCUAUAGGACUGCAUAAGGCAGUAUGUGCCAGAGUUGAACAUCGAAACCAGUACCGUUUGUAUUUGGCCAAUUGGAUAGCAGGUAUGCAUGGAUUUCGAUAAACGUUUUGAUUUUGGUUUUAUCAAUUUGCUUGCUUUUGUAAUCUCUCUAAUUGAUUUGUUCUCUUGUGUUUGAAGUUGAAGGAAAGAGUUUUGAAGUUAAAAGAGAGUAGGUAUUUUCUACGGAGUGCAUUGCAAAGUGUUGAGCUGAAGAUUAUUGAGCUUCAAACUGAGAUAUCCAAUCUCAAUUAGAUACUGAAAUUCAGUUUUUGUCACUACGUUUUCGUUCAGAAGCAGUUGAAUAUUUUGUAAUAAUUCUGAACCUUAACACUUGAAACUAUAAAUUUGAAUAUCAUUUUAGGAAAAAUAAUCGAUUUCAGAUUUCGCAAAAUAUCAUCACAAAAUUUGAUCUAGUUUAAUAGUCGUUGGUUAUGGGACCUUUGAUUU